GUAUCCCUGCUGGAGUACCGAAAACGGAAACAAGAAGCUAAGGAAAAUUCUGCUGGUGGGGGAGGUGACUCUGCACAGAGCAAAAGCAAGCCUGCAGGAGCUGGGCAAGGCAGCAGUAACUCCGUUUCUGACACUGGUGCCCAUGGUGUGCAGGGAUCCUCAGCCCGAACUCCAUCUUCCCCUCACAAAAAAUUCUCCCCAUCUCAUUCCUCUAUGUCCCAUUUGGAGGCGGUAAGCCCAUCAGAUUCCAGAGGCACUUCUUCAUCUCACUGCAGACCUCAAGAGAAUAUCAGCAGUAGGUGGAUGGUUCCCACAUCAGUAGAACGACUCCGAGAAGGAGGGAGCAUCCCCAAGGUCCUCCGAAGCAGCGUGAGGGUGGCCCAAAAGGGAGAGCCCUCUCCCACAUGGGAGAGUAACAUCACAGAGAAAGACUCAGACCCUGCAGAUGGAGAAGGCCCAGAGACAUUGAGCUCAGCACUCUCUAAAGGAGCAACAGUUUACAGCCCUUCCAGAUACAGCUACCAGGUGAGAUGAGAAAUUGCUGGUCUCUAGCCAUAGGAGUGUGUUCUGGGUCCUAAAUUGUCCUGGUCAUCCUUUGCCAUUGAGAUGCUGUCUUUGCAUAUAGUUUCAGCAG
rnacentral:sRNA from 1 species